rnacentral:rRNA from 1 species
GUUGAACGCUAGCUACAGGCUUAACACAUGCAAGUCGAGGGACCGGCGCACGGGUGAGUAACACGUAUCCAACCUGCCCUUUACUCGGGGAUAGCCUUUCGAAAGAAAGAUUAAUACCCGAUGUAAAGGAUGGGGAUGCGUUCCAUUAGGUUGUUGGUGAGGUACCGGCUCACCAAGCCUUCGAUGGAUAGGGGUUCUGAGAGGAAGGGCCUCCACAUUGGAACUGGGACACGGUCCAAACGCGUACGGGAGGCAGCAGUGAUGAAUAUUGGGCAAUGGGCGUUAGCCUGAAACAGCCAAGUAGCGUGAAGGAUGAAGGCUUAUGGGGCGUAAACUUCUUUUAUAUAAGAAUAUGUAUUAUAUGAAUAAGGAUCGGCUAACUCCGUGCCAGCAGCCGCGGUAAUUC